CAGCUUUUUGUUAAGCUGAGGUUCCUGAUUCAAUUAGAUUGUCUUUUGCUAGCUUAUGUAACAGAGACAUUACAGCUAGCAAAGAUCCAUUAGAUAGUGUACAUGUAUUUGCUUAUAUUAACCCACAGUACACUUGGUGUAGUCCCUAAAUAUCCCCCCUCCCCCCAUGGUGUUCACACAAGAUAAUUAUUAAUAUAUAUAUAUAUAUUCAAAUGAGAAAAUGAAGAUGCUCUGUGACUUACAUAUUUGAUAAAUUACAUGUAGGUUUUGACUAAAAUCUAGUGUCAGUAUGGCUUCUAGUGCCUAAAAGUAAUAGCUAACAAAGCUCAAAUCUCAAAGCACAUGAAGUGGAACUCAAGUUAUGGGGAUCUGGCCUCAAAACCAUUUAUAAAACUGGUGCUUGUUGUCAUAUUUGGAGCUUCAUUAUUAUAUUCACAGGCUUGUAAGUGAACAUUUGCCUAGAUAACACCUGUUAGAGAAAUGCUGAUUUAAUCCCAUUUAAAUAAUAGGAAGUAAAUGAGCAGGAACAAAGUGAAUAGCAGGAACAAAGUAAGUUCAUAUUAGAAGCUUCUUAGAGAGAAGAGUAUAAUUCUGUUCACUCUUAUGCUUGUGCCCUGAAAAAGAAGUCAUCUCUUAAUUUUUUUUGUAUCUUUCAGUUAUGUUCAAAAGAUGACUCAGGUGAGAAGGAAGCUCAGGAGAGGUCUUCAGUCCAACCUCCUUCUCACAGCAUGGCCAGCUUUGAGGUCAGACCUGUUUGCUCAAGGCCGUCUUGAAAGCUUCCAAGGACGGAGACCUCACAGCCCCUCUGGACAACACUGCUGUGAUGUCCUCAGGGAGAAAAAGGUCCAUAUCAGUCUAGUCAGGCUGAAGAUAGACUUAUAUUUCCUGUGUGCAUAAUUUUCAGGUUUCAUGCAAAAUUCCUUCUAUGGGGUGACAGAAUGGAAGUUGAAGGACAUAUGCCAGAUCCCAGUAUUAAGAAGUUGUUGACUUUUUGAAAUAAAAAGCUUUCUUCUAGCUCUUUUGGGCCAACAUAUAAGGAUUGCAACGCUGUAAUUAGGACAUUACUUCAAAUUUCACCUCAAUUACUUUUUGGUGACAUUUCUUUCUCUCUUGUAUAUUUACAGAAAUGAUAAAACCUUAGUUCAACAAAAAUCUUUUGUUCCCUUCUACACACACCCCAGCUAAGGGAGGGUCAUGCUUGUAAUUUUUACUUCAUGCUUUAAACUCAGAGGUUAAAAUAUGAUGUUUAAAUGGUGACAGAGAAGUCUCAAUGAAGAAAUUGGGGUCUUUGACCUCAAUCUCUGCUGUUUCGGGCAGCGGGGGUGGGGGAUCAUUCUGUGUUUGCUAGCUGAACCACAGUAACCUGCACCUGACAAUUUAACCUAUUGGGUUUUGAGCAUUUUCAGAUCAGAUCAAACGCAUCAAAGUCUGUGUAAAUAAUGCAUUGCAGUAAAUUGUCUCUCAUUUCAAACUAAUACCAGAAAAACAACUACUUAAUUGCAAAAAUAAUACACUAUUAGCAGUGAUAUAAUUUAUACUUUAAUAAUUUAAUCUCCCACCUCCUAGAUAAGUCUCCCUGUAUUUCCAUAUUAGAUUUGGGUUUAGCUUUUGUGUGGUCAUAGGAGACUGGGCAGGGCACUGACUGAUAUCAGAGGAGUAGACAUGCAUAGGACAAGAUGAAAUGAGAAAUGAUUA